rnacentral:rRNA from 1 species
GGGGAAUUUUGGACAAUGGGCGCAAGCCUGAUCCAGCAAUGCCGCGUGCAGGAUGAAGGCCUUCGGGUUGUAAACUGCUUUUGUACGGAACGAAAAGCCUCCCUCUAAUACCCGGUUGUUCUGACGGUACCCAAAGAAUAAGCACCGGCUAACUUCGUGCCAGCAGCCGCGGUAAUACGAAGGGUGCAAGCGUUACUCGGAAUUACUGGGCGUAAAGCGUGCGUAGGUGGUGGUUUAAGUCCGUUGUGAAAGCCCUGGGCUCAACCUGGGAACUGCAGUGGAUACUGGAUCACUAGAGUGUGGCAGAGGGUAGUGGAAUUCCCGGUGUAGCAGUGAAAUGCGUAGAGAUCGGGAGGAACAUCAGUGGCGAAGGCGACUGCCUGGGCCAACACUGACACUGAGGCACGAAAGCGUGGGGAGCAAACA